rnacentral:rRNA from 1 species
GACGAACGCUGGCGGCGUGCCUAAUACAUGCAAGUUGAGCGCUGAAGGUUGGUACUUGUUCCAACUGGAUGAGCAGCGAACGGGUGAGUAACGCGUGGGGAAUCUGCCUUUGAGCGGGGGACAACAUUUGGAAACGAAUGCUAAUACCGCAUAAAAACUUUAAACACAAGUUUUAAGCUUGAAAGAUGCAAUUGCAUCACUCAAAGAUGAUCCCGCGUUGUAUUAGCUAGUUGGUGAGGUAAAGGCUCACCAAGGCGAUGAUACAUAGCCGACCUGAGAGGGGGAUCGGCCGCAUUGGGACUGGGACACGGCCCAAACUACUACGGGAGGCAGCAGUAGGGAAUCGUAGGCAAUGGACGAAAGUCUGACCGAACAACGCCGCGUGAGUGAAGAAGGGUUUCGGAUCGUGAAGAUCGGUUGGUAGAGAAGAACGGUGGUGAGAAUGGAAAGCUCAUGAAGUGACGGUAACUACACAGAAAGCGACGGCUAACUACGUG